AUGCUGAAGAUGGGAUUUGAUGUGAGAUGGGUAGAUCUAAUUAUGGCAUGCGUUAAAUCUGUGACUUAUUCAGUGAGGUUUAAUUCACUGGUAACAGAAAGGUUUACUCCAUCUCGAGGCCUACGACAGGGCGACCCACUUAGCCCAUAUCUAUUCCUAUUGGUGGCAGAGGGUUUUUCUAUCUUACUUUCGGAUGCAGAAGAGAGUGGAAUUUGA
rnacentral:rRNA from 1 species